rnacentral:misc_RNA from 1 species
AACGCACAUUGCGCCCGGCAGUAUUCUGCCGGGCAUGCCUGUUCGAGCGUCAUUUCAACCCUCAAGCCCCCGGGCUUGGUGUUGGAGAUCGGCCCGCCCCCGUGGCUGGCCGGCUCCGAAAUCUAGUGGCGGUCCCGCUGUAGCUUCCUCUGCGUAGUAGCAAUAUCUCGCACCGGAACGCGACGGAGCCUUGCCGUAAAACCCCCAACUUCUGAAGGUUGACCUCGGAUCAGGUAGGAAUACCCGCUGAACUUAA